rnacentral:rRNA from 1 species
AUUGAACGCUGGCGGCAGGCCUAACACAUGCAAGUCGAGCGGAAACGAGUUAUCUAAACCUUCGGGGAACGAUAACGGCGUCGAGCGGCGGACGGGUGAGUAAUGCCUAGGAAAUUGCCCUGAUGUGGGGGAUAACCAUUGGAAACGAUGGCUAAUACCGCAUGAUGCCUACGGGCCAAAGAGGGGGACCUUCGGGCCUCUCGCGUCAGGGUAUGCCUAGGUGGGAUUAGCUAGUUGGUGAGGUAAGGGCUCACCAAGGCAACGAUCCCUAGCUGGUCUGAGAGGAUGAUCAGCCACACUGGAACUGAGACACGGUCCAGACUCCUACGGGAGGCAGCAGUGGGGAAUAUUGCACAAUGGGCGCAAGCCUGAUGCAGCCAUGCCGCGUGUGUGAAGAAGGCCUUCGGGUUGUAAAGCACUUUCAGUCGUGAGGAAGGUAGUGUGUUUAAUAGAUGCAUUAUUUGACGUUAGCGACAGAAGAAGCACCGGCUAACUCCGUGCCAGCAGCCGCGGUAAUACGGAGGGUGCGAGCGUUAAUCGGAAUUACUGGGCGUAAAGCGCAUGCAGGUGGUUUGUUAAGUCAGAUGUGAAAGCCCGGGGCUCAACCUCGGAAUAGCAUUUGAAACUGGCAGACUAGAGUACUGUAGAGGGGGGUAGAAUUUCAGGUGUAGCGGUGAAAUGCGUAGAGAUCUGAAGGAAUACCGGUGGCGAAGGCGGCCCCCUGGACAGAUACUGACACUCAGAUGCGAAAGCGUGGGGAGCAAACAGG